rnacentral:tRNA from 3 species
GGGUUACUAGCUCAACGGCAGAGCGCGGGACUCUUAAUCCCUCGGUUCGGGGUUCGAAUCCCCGGUAACCCA